rnacentral:rRNA from 1 species
AUUGAACGCUGGCGGCAGGCCUAACACAUGCCAGUCGAACGGUAACAGGAAGCAGCUUGCUGCUUCGCUGACGAGUGGCGGACGGGUGAGUAAUGUCUGGGAAACUGCCUGAUGGAGGGGGAUAACUACUGGAAACGGUAGCUAAUACCGCAUAACGUCGCAAGACCAAAGAGGGGGACCUUCGGGCCUCUUGCCAUCGGAUGUGCCCAGAUGGGAUUAGCUAGUAGGUGGGGUAACGGCUCACCUAGGCGACGAUCCCUAGCUGGUCUGAGAGGAUGACCAGCCACACUGGAACUGAGACACGGUCCAGACUCCUACGGGAGGCAGCAGUGGGGAAUAUUGCACAAUGGGCGCAAGCCUGAUGCAGCCAUGCCGCGUGUAUGAAGAAGGCCUUCGGGUUGUAAAGUACUUUCAGCGGGGAGGAAGGGAGUAAAGUUAAUACCUUUGCUCAUUGACGUUACCCGCAGAAGAAGCACCGGCUAACUCCGUG